rnacentral:rRNA from 1 species
UACGGAGGGUGCAAGCGUUGUCCGGAAUUAUUGGGCGUAAAGAGCUCGUAGGCGGUUUGUCGCGUCUGCUGUGAAAACCUAAGGCUCAACCUUGGGCUUGCAGUGGGUACGGGCAGACUAGAGUGCGGUAGGGGUGACUGGAAUUCCUGGUGUAGCGGUGGAAUGCGCAGAUAUCAGGAGGAACACCGAUGGCGAAGGCAGGUCACUGGGCCGCAACUGACGCUGAGGAGCGAAAGCAUGGGGAGCGAACAGG